AGUAGCGAUCAAAAUAAGACUAAUGCAUUGGAUCCCGUCAAAACUCUGUAGUUAAGUGUAUUUGGUUGAGAUUAGUACGAGGAUGGGUAACCUCCUAGGAAGUCCUCUUGUUGCACCUC
rfam:Lupinus angustifolius cultivar Tanjil contig_40848, whole genome shotgun sequence.